rnacentral:rRNA from 1 species
UGGGGAAUCUUGCGCAAUGGGCGAAAGCCUGACGCAGCCAUGCCGCGUGAAUGAUGAAGGUCUUAGGAUUGUAAAAUUCUUUCAGCGGGGACGAUAAUGACGGUACCCGCAGAAGAAGCCCCGGCUAACUUCGUGCCAGCAGCCGCGGUAAUACGAAGGGGGCUAGCGUUGCUCGGAUUUACUGGGCGUAAAGGGCGCGUAGGCGGAUUGACAAGUUGGGGGUGAAAGCCCGGGGCUCAACCUCGGAAUUGCCUUCAAAACUGUCAGUCUUGAGUUCGGGAGAGGUGAGUGGAACUCCGAGUGUAGAGGUGAAAUUCGUAGAUAUUCGGAAGAACACCAGUGGCGAAGGCGACUCACUGGCCCGAUACUGACGCUGAGGCGCGAAAGCGUGGGGAGCAAACAGGAUUAGAUACCCUGGUAGUCCACGCUGUAAACGAUGAGUGCUAGUUGUCGGCAGGCAUGCCUGUCGGUGACGCAGCUAACGCAUUAAGCACUCCGCCUGGGGGAGUACGGUCGCAAGAUUAAAACUUAAAGGAAUUGACGGGGUCAUAGCUGUUUCCU